GGGAAAAUGAGAUGGUGGGACUUUCCCCAAAAGCAGGCUUGUGCCUGAUGCAGGGUGGAGGAGCCCCACGCCCUGUGGAAGGACAAACACAGCGUCAUCCACAGACGUUGCCCAUGGGUCCAGUCCAUCCAUCGGUGACUUAUGGGCAAAAGGGAAGGAAGGAAAGGAAAGAAGAUUGAGUCUCACUGAUAGUUUGUCAGCCUUGCAUCCCAUCUGCCCCAUGUGGGUCCUGUGAAGCUGCUGGUCAACCUAUCCCCUGGCUUUGGGGGAAUGCAACCCAUGUCUGGCCAACUGUGGUGCCCCAUUUCCCAGUCUAGAGUUGUUGGUCCAAGAGGAGGCUCUCUCUUACUCUGAAAUCAUGAGCUGAGGGUUUACUGUGUAUGCCUGAAGCUAUCAGACAAUGAAGAAAGAAGAGAGAGAAAGAGAGAGAUUUGAGCACCUGGGUCCAGCUAUGACUGAAGCUAGCAAGACACCCAUCUUUGUUCUCUGAAAUUAUGUAAGAAAGUAAACUCCCUUUUUGGAAUUUUGCUUGUUUACUUUUGCUUAAGUUAACUUGAGCUGGAAUUUCAUCAUCACAAUUAAAAACAUCCUAACAACUUAUCCCUUGAAAAUCAUGUGCUUUGCGCCCAGCCAGCCGCCCCGUCAGGGAGGGAGGUGGGGGGGUCAGCCCCCCGCCAGGCCA
rnacentral:lncRNA from 1 species